UACGAAGAAAAUAAAAGCACGUAUUGUGUCGAUUAUAAUAUUAGCUAUAAAUCGCUACAAAUGAUUAAAUUGAAACAGCCAUGUACGCUGUGUUCAAGCGUAUGAUUAUAUCGAUUGACGGAUUGUAUCGAAACUAUGAAUAUCGUUUAAAUUUUCCUUUUCAUCGAAUACUUUUAAUUAUCUUAAUAUUUAAAAUUUCAAGAAAUUAAAGCAAUAUGAUGAUUUGUUUUUGGUAAUAUCAUUCAUUCAAGAGAAUUUAAUGUCUUUUGAAAUUUUAAGUGCAGAAUGCCAAGAUUCAUUGGACAUUACAUAGGAAUAUCCUUUCAGACUGAAUUAUUAGUAAUGACUCUAUUAGGUUUGGUAAGAUUUCCGAAAUAAUUAUUGGACAUAGUUUCUUUCUGUAUUUAAAAUAUUCCAAGUAUAACGAUAAAGUAUCGGUCAUGCAACGGAAAAAAAAAAAAUCAUAAAAUAAUAAUAUUUCUUAAAUCGUUAAAGUAAGUAACGAGAUGAUAAUAUUCCGAAGCUCAACAGCACGUUGGAAUGGCAUCCUUUCGACUGGUCUCAACAAAUUGAAAAGAUUUGGAAUCUGUCAUUGACUCAACAGUAUUUCUUUUUCUCUACAGAUUUUGAGUAUUGGAUAAAGACAAGUUAGUACCGAGAAAAAUAUGUUCUAUAUAUGUUGAAUGAUAUUUUACACAUUAUUAUUCCUCAUUACAAUUAGUCCUAACAUGGAUCGUUAUCACAAGGAAGAUAGCCGCUUAUGUUUACACAUUUUUAUACAUGAUCAAUUUCUAUCCAAUUUUAACAUGGAGUCGACCAAAUUUACUUCUGCCGUGGCUGAUCCUGAGUUUCUUUCAAAAUCUCAUACUAAAAUCGAUCGUUAUUACGAUAUUCAUAUGGUUAUGGGGUAGAGAAAGAUUUUCUUCAUUUCGAAUGAUCGAAUUUGUUCUCGUUGAACUUCUUUCAUUAACCAAUUCUGCAUACGUAUGGUAUGCAAUCGCAUGUUCUUAUAUAGAGUUGAAAAAAAUAGAAAGAAUUAGAAAGAUAAGAAAAGCUUUGCAAGCAAAAUAUUCCAUCGCAUAUAAUCUCUUCUCGGAUCGUAGUAGCAUGGAAUUAUCUAGCAAGGACUCAGCAUAUGGUUUGUACUCGGAAAGACGUUGUAUGAGUUUACCUAAUCUGAACGAUGCUUUUUAUCGUUCGAUUUUCAACGAUUUCAAUGAAAGUAGAACAUCUAGAUCGUUGACAACUUUAACGACUAUCAGCAGCUUCGAAUCCGAUGACACGGAAGAAGUCAUUUCUCAGAUAAUUCAUAAUAAUAAUUUGAUACCUGUUGAGAAAUGUAUGAAGCUUUUGGGCUUAACUGAUGUUGAUAUAAUCAAUGCACGUGCUAGAGUUCGCAAAAGGAUUUUAGAGAGUGCUAUAAUUAAUAAGAUUCAAGAAGAAUAUGCAAAAAAGAAGGAGAUAGGAAAAAACGAUGUGACAAAAGAUAACAGGAUGAGAGAUUCAUCUAUCAUUGAUUACUUGAUGGCAAAAACUGACAUGCCUAUAUUUCGUAAAAAUGAUAAUCGCGUUGAGAAGUUCAGAGAUAUGAAACGAAAAGGUGAUGCAAUUUUAAAACGAACUGAAGCUUCUAAAGACCAGAAGAUCAAUGAGAAGAUCGAAGAUGUUUCAGUUGAAGUAAAAAAUGAAUUGAUCGAUGAAGAAGUAGAAUUGACACAAACUAAGGAAUCCAUAACAGCUUUUGUGCUAGAUCGUAUCGAUGAAAAUGAAGAAACAAAGUUAGAAUUUAUUAAGAAGAAAAAAAAGAAAAAAGCAUGUCCAUUAACGAGAGAGAAAGUAGAGUGUAGACCAUGCUUUCCUCUCGUAGGGGACAGACAAUUGAUGGAAUGUCCUUUCAAGGAGCAAAUUAUCCUUUCUAAUUCUAAUUAUCCUUGCCUUUUAAAUAAAAGAAAUAAACGUUUAAAUGAAGUUUAUUGUACAUCUAAUCGCGAAAUUGAUGUUUUAAUAAAUGAUAAUAAAAUUCCAGAGGAGAGUAUUAUUUCCUUGGAUGACAUAGACAUCAGAAAAUUACCCGAAAACGAUGCAACGAUUACGAAUAUUGAUCAAGAAGAAGAUACAAAGAUUAAUUUUUCACGAAGCCAAAUGACUAAUGCAAAAGAUUUCACUAAUAGAGAAUUGGAAAAUAAUUCUAUCUUAAGUUGUCCAACGUUCUAUCAAAAAUAUAAUAUAACUAAUUUCUAUGGCAAUGAAUUGCUAUUCGAUGAAUUUUUUGAUCCUCAAUUACGAUUUAACGAAAAAUUUGUUGAAAACACGAAUGAUAUAUACAAAGAUAUGUUGUUUAAACCUUCGGAUUCGAAGAAUUUAUUUGAUCGAGGAAAAAUGAUGAUAUGGAAUAAUAAAAACGCAGAAUUAUUAUUUAAAAUACCAAAACAAAUUGCGUGUUACACUGGUGUGGAAUACAAAUCUGUAAAUAAUCCUAAGAUUUCUAACAAGACAGAAUUUAUCGAAGGCAAAUUGCAGAAUUUCGAUCGAGAGUUAAUUACAAAACAUAGAUACACGAGUGUCGAACCAAAAGGAGAAUACAAAAGUAAUGAUCCAUUUAACAUUUAUGAAAGUAUCUGGAGUAAUUUAAAUGUAAAUAGUAAUACUAAUAGCCGCAAUAGAAUUAGUACUCAAACUACAGAAAGUUUGGACGAUUAUAUAUACCAUAAUAAAAGGAGUAAUAAAAAUAAUGAUCACAAUGUAGAUGCCAAUUAUAUGGACAAUGAAUCUUCAAAGUUUGCGACAAACAUUAAUUUAAAUCAAUUAUUAGAUACUAAGAAUUUAAUUAAAAACGACGAAAGCUACGAAGAUAAUUUAGAAAUUGGACCAUGUUAUUGUAAAAAUUGGAGUAUCUUUGCCAUGUCACAGGUAGCAGAUUCUUCAGAAUGCGAAAAUUCGAGUUUUUUAGAAAAACCAUCUGCAUAUCUUAAAGAAAUUCAAAAUGAAUCACUUCAUAGAUUAACGAAUAUUAAAAAUAAGAUCGUCAAGAAUUCGUUCGAUAGUUGUAAACAUCCCGAAUACUUUGAUCAAUCGAGACGUAACAUAUCAUUGAAGAAGAAAAGAAAACGUAUGACAUCUUCUAAAGAAAGAGAACUUUUAGAAAUGAAAGCUUUGAGAGCUUACAACGAGAUCACUUUGAUGGAAGACAAACGAGAGAUGGAAAAAAAGAAACAACAAAAAACUAAUAUGCUAUAUUCCUUCAUAGAUAAUACCAGAUCUUGGUCGACGCAAGUAAUGUCUUGUUCUAAAGUGAAAAACAAUUACAGACAAAUACAAAGAAGACACGAGAUUGAUUCAUAUGAAUUUAAUAAACAUCAAAAUCACUUUGAUUCAUACAACGAAAUUGAAAUACACAAUACAACUGAUUCUUUCUUCGAAUAUUCUAGUAAAAUUAAUAACGAAGAAUUAAUAAAGGAGAAGGAAAAUUUUUAUUUUCUUGAAAACGAAUCGUCGUCUUCUCAAUUACCCGAUAUACGAAAUAAAGAUGCUGCAAUCAUGUUGAAUCUUUUGAAUCGUCAUGGUAGUGAUUGGUUCAAGCAAGAGUUGAGAAGAAUUCUGGCAAUAAGGGAUAGUCAGGUGUAUAUGAAACAUAGCAAAUCUAAUCAAGAUACUAUGAAACUGAAUCUUUCUUUAAGAAACAAUCAAAAGAUAAUUGAUAGCCUUGAACUUGAUAGAAAUAUUGGGAAAGAAGACAUAAGUAUUCCCUUUGGAUUACCUUCGUCUUAUCAAUAUUUAUCAACCACUUCGGAUUUCGGUUCAAAUCAAAAUUUUAAGACUUCUAAUUUGAGGGAAUCUAUUAUUUCUGAAAAAGAUAUGCCUCCUAUUUCGUCCGAUUUAAAAGAUUUCAUUGAAUCUACAGAAAAUAAAAAAGUAAUUGAAGAAGAAGGAAAAGAAGAAAGAAAAAUGAUAGAUACACCAAAAGAAUCUGAAAUUGAAGAGAUCGAGAAAUUUAAGAUCGACAUGUUAAAUGUUGAAAAAGAUAAUUCAUCUUUUUCCUUGACAAAUUCCAUCUCAUUUUCAUCUCUUACAAAAAGUGAAAAUGUAGUCGAACCGAUCGAUGAUCGAAAUCAUCCUCCAGUUAGACGUAGAAAUAUGUCUCUACACAUGAUGGACAUCGCAAGAAACAUUCAUUGGAGUUUACGUCCUCGUGGUAUUCUAUUAACUAAUAAAAAUUUACAAGGAAUGAAUUUCGAAUCGUCCGAUCUUUGUGGUAACCAGCAGAGAGAUAUCGUCGAUGACGUCACAGCCAGUCUGGUCCAUGCUGCUUUCUCUCAUAAACCUGAGAUUAUCAUUCGAACAUUUCCACGUGAUUCUCGAUCUAUCAAUGACGAACAAUCCACGUCCUUCUUCGAAAAUUUUUCUAAUAUUUAUCGUUUGCCAUCGACCGUCGACGAAUUUGUUCUUCGUUCUAAUAAUGAAAUGGAUAUUUUUCUUGGAGACGCAUUGACGCUUCCAAACGUUCAAGAAGUCGAAGACGAAGUUAAUAAUCUCGAAGAUAUUCUACAAAGUUCAUGUGAUUCUAUGGAAAUUGAUAGGAACUUUGAUCUUUGUAUUUUGGUGAUGGAAGACGAGGACUUGUCUUUAGAUUCAAGAUCGACUUCAACCGAUAGUCUACCUAUAAACGAAGUUGUUCAAUAUGACAGUGAAAUUACUAUUGCAUUGAGUGAAACAAAGACAAUGGAUAACGUUGAUCCAGAAAUAAAUUCCCUUGGCUGUGAGACGUUCAAAGAUUCCGAUCAACUUUCCUUGGAAAUGAUAAUAGCUUUCUUCAGUUUUCUCUUAGCUUUUUACAUAGAAAUUCUGGGAUCAUACUUCUUUAUGUCGGAUUUACAUAAUUCUAUAUAUGCUUACAGACCGUACGAACUGCAUUCGGACAUGCUUAAGAACGAUUUUUCUGACGAAUUUUUAUCUGAAAAAUCUGACAUGGUUGCUUCUUCAAAUUCGGUAAAUAUAACAGAGUUUGUCGUUGAACCUAAAAACCAAGAAAGAACCGAUGUGAUCAUCGAUGAAGUUGAAGAGGAUGAUCAAGCUUCGAUAAAAAGUACAAAUUUGCAAGUUUCAAGUAUAAGAGAUAGUUUUGAUACGAUGUAUACUAAAACUACUGUUGAAUCUGAAAACGCAAUAUCUUUUGAAGAAAACAGCUCGAUGGAAGAUUUUUCUUGAUAAUUUGUCAAAGGAUACAAAUUUGAGGAUCUUCAUUGCUUUAAUAAAAAAUGUACGUUUUUAUAUAUUCACAAAAAAAUAAUGAUUGAUUGAAUCGCUUUUAUAAAUAAUUAUUACAGCUUUCGUUCUUUUAUUAUCUCGUAAUUGAUAUUACUUAUCGAUCUAUGGACAUUGAAUACUUUCUUUUACCAUCCUUUUGUUAAUAAAAUAUUUUCAUCAUCUUAAUAAUUAUUCUACAUAAGCUAAAUUCGUUCGAUCGUUUUACUUUAACUACUCAAAACUUCAAGUUAAUUUCUUACGACAUUCAACAAGUUUCAUCAUAACCCUGACCAUAAUCAGGCACCACGUGAUCAGGAUCACAAAUAGUGUCUUUAACAGCAUCCUUAACGUGUGCCUUGAAGAUUCUAAAAUUGAUCUUGCUGCUAUCUAAAUUUUCAUAAAGAUACAUCGGUAACCUAUUGGAGAUCAUCCAAACGCUUUGCUCUUCUUCAUGAUCGACUUUAAUGUCGUUAGGAAAGACCAACGAGAUGUUACUGGUACCUAUUACACCUAAAUUCUCGGGUAUAUAUUCCUUUCUCGUAUCCCAACACCAUACAGAGUCCCGAGUGACCAUGUUGAAGAACAUUACACCGUUUCUGUCGACAACGGAACCAGACGAAUGACCAUAAUCCUUGGCUCUUGGUCUUCCAAUCGGUAUAAAUUUAUCGGUAUUAUGAUCGACCAUUCUCUUGUCUCGAAGGACAGACGUGGAGACUGCAAACUCUCUGAAACUCGACAUGGGAUGAAAAAACAGGGUCCUAUCGUCGUGAAUAUCGAUAGGACUUAAUGCAAUGCCAAAGAUUCCGUCAGUCCAUUGGAAUUUUAUACCAUGGAGUUCGUACUUCGCAGCCAAAGGAUCAGGAAAGAAUAAAUGAUGUUCGAAUCUGAAGGAUGAAUCCUUGUAAAAGUCAUAAACGAUUAAACCGAAUCUCCAGACGUCUGAAAGAUAUGCUAUUGCGCCACCGCAAUCUCCAUCUCUUAUAUCAACUACUAUAUUCGUAAACAAAGAAUCUUGUUUCACUUGCUCCUGCGGUAAAGUAUAUUUCUUAAUCAAUUUAUCAGUUCGAAGAUCGAAUAUGUAGAGUGCUGGUGGACAACUUUGCGUCGGUUUUCUCGCGAUAUUUGUCACUCCAGAAUCCAAAACCCAAAGACGAUCACAUUCGUCUACUUGUAUUCUAAACACUGAUGUAAGAUCAUCGCAUUUACCUGAAAGUAUAAAAAAGUAUUAGAAAAUUAUUUCGAUAAAUACGAUUUGUCCAGGUUCCAACUAACCAGACAUAUUCCAAUCCCAAUCAGGAUAUGGCUUCAAUUUUGGACUCUUUGUUUUGGAAUAUCUUGGAACAGUUGCCAGCGUCACUGCUAUGUAAUCACCAUCGAAUAUAGCUUGAUCUCGUUCUUCGAUAUUAUUAAACUCAAAGUCUACGGUCGACCAAGCGUAAACCUGAAUUAAAAUUAGCAAGAUCGAUAAGGAAGAUCGGAAAUUGUUUACGAAGAGAUAAUCGAAUAUUUACCAAACUCAUCGCUGGUCCAACAUACUCGUCUUCAACUGGCUCGUGAUUGAGAUCAUAAUUAAAUCCAUGAAACUCAAGUUGAUUUAUCGAAUGGGCAUUGUUCUUAAAGACAUCGCCUAUGUUUCUCGCGUAAUCGCGAUUAUUUGACUGGAAAAAUCGACCUGCUGUAAUCGGGGUCGAGCCAUAAAGAAUAUUAUUUCUUUCA